rnacentral:rRNA from 1 species
GACGAACGCUGGCGGCGUGCUUAACACAUGCAAGUCGAACGGAAAGGCCCUGCUUUUGUGGGGUGCUCGAGUGGCGAACGGGUGAGUAACACGUGAGUAACCUGCCCUUGACUUUGGGAUAACUUCAGGAAACUGGGGCUAAUACCGGAUAGGAGCUCCUGCUGCAUGGUGGGGGUUGGAAAGUUUCGGCGGUUGGGGAUGGACUCGCGGCUUAUCAGCUUGUUGGUGGGGUAGUGGCUUACCAAGGCUUUGACGGAUAGCCGGCCUGAGAGGGUGAACGGCCACAUUGGGACUGAGAUACGGCCCAGACUCCUACGGGAGGCAGCAGUGGGGAAUAUUGCACAAUGGGCGGAAGCCUGAUGCAGCAACGCCGCGUGCGGGAUAACGGCCUUCGAGUUGUGAACCGCUUUCGCCUGUGACGAAGCGUGAGUGACGGUAAUGGGUAAAGAAGCACCGGCUAACUACGUG